GAGUUUGAUCGUGGCUCAGAAUGAACGCUGGCGGCAUGCCUAACGCAUGCAAGUCGAACGAAGGCUUCGGCCUUAGUGGCGCACGGGUGCGUAACGCGUGGGAAUCUGCCCUUGGGUUCGGAAUAACAGUUAGAAAUGACUGCUAAUACCGGAUGAUGUCGUAAGACCAAAGAUUUAUCGCCCAAGGAUGAGCCCGCGUAGGAUUAGCUAGUUGGUGGGGUAAAGGCCCACAAGGCGACGAUCCUUAGCUGGUCUGAGAGGAUGAUCAGCCACACUGGGACUGAGACACGGCCCAGACUCCUACGGGAGGCAGCAGUGGGGAAUAUUGGACAAUGGGCGAAAGCCUGAUCCAGCAAUGCCGCGUGAGUGAUGAAGGCCUUAGGGUUGUAAAGCUCUUUUACCCGGGAUGAUAAUGACAGUACCGGGAGAAUAAGCUCCGGCUAACUUCGUGCCAGCCGCCGCAGUAAU
rnacentral:rRNA from 1 species